rnacentral:tRNA from 1 species
GGAGAGAUGGCUCAGUGGUUAAGAGCACUGGCUACUCUUUCAGAGGACCUGGGUUCAAUUCCCAGAAUCCA